rnacentral:rRNA from 1 species
UUUCGCAAUGCCCGAAAGGGUGACGAAGCGACGCCGCGUGCGGGAAGAAGGCCUUCGGGUUGUAAACCGCUGUCGGGAGUUAAGAAAUGUAAGGAUGUUAAUAGCAUCUUUGCUUGACUAAGGCUCCGGAGGAAGCCACGGCUAACUCUGUGCCAGCAGCCGCGGUAAUACAGAGGCGGCAAGCGUUGUUCGGAAUAAUUGGGCGUAAAGAGCACGUAGGCGGCUAUGUAAGUCGGUUGUGAAAGCCUUCCGCUCAACGGGAGAACAGCAUCCGAUACUGCAUGGCUUGAGUGCGGGAGGGGAGAGUGGAACUUCUGGUGGAGCGGUGAAAUGCGUAGAUAUCAGAAGGAACGCCGGCGGCGAAAGCGGCUCUCUGGCCCAUAACUGACGCUGAGUGUGCGAAAGCUAGGGGAGCAAACGGGAUUAGAUACUCCGGUAGUCCUAGCCGUAAACGAUGGGCACUAAGUAGAGGGGUUUUAAUCUC